AACCCUCAAGUAUAGCUCACCAUAAGGAUUCUUAUGCAAUUUUGGUAUCCUUGGCCUAUCAUUCCAUAAAAUAUCCACCUUCUCUAUCUCCAUUAAUCCUUUUAAAACUGUUUCAAGAAGGAAUGGAAUCAUCAGGUCUUGAAUUGUGUCCAAUUGCACAGAUGAAUUCCUGGACUUUUCAAUUAUAGUAACAGUUAUACACAAC
rnacentral:misc_RNA from 1 species